rnacentral:rRNA from 1 species
AUUGAACGCUGGCGGCAGGCCUAACACAUGCAAGUCGAGCGGAUGAAGGGAGCUUGCUCCUGGAUUCAGCGGCGGACGGGUGAGUAAUGCCUAGGAAUCUGCCUGGUAGUGGGGGAUAACGUCCGGAAACGGGCGCUAAUACCGCAUACGUCCUGAGGGAGAAAGUGGGGGAUCUUUGGACCACACGCUAUCAGAUGAGCCUAGGUCGGAUUAGCUAGUUGGUGGGGUAAAGGCCUACCAAGGCGACGAUCCGUAACUGGUCUGAGAGGAUGAUCAGUCACACUGGAACUGAGACACGGUCCAGACUCCUACGGGAGGCAGCAGUGGGGAAUAUUGGACAAUGGGCGAAAGCCUGAUCCAGCCAUGCCGCGUGUGUGAAGAAGGUCUUCGGAUUGUAAAGCACUUUAAGUUGGGAGGAAGGGCAGUAAGUUAAUACCUUGCUGUUUUGACGUUACCAACAGAAUAAGCACCGGCUAACUUCGUG